rnacentral:rRNA from 1 species
UACAGAGGGGGCAAGCGUUGUUCGGAAUUACUGGGCGUAAAGGGCGCGUAGGCGGCCUUCUAAGUCGAACGUGAAAUCCCUCGGCUCAACCGGGGAACUGCGUCUGAUACUGGGUGGCUUGAAUCCGGGAGAGGGAUGCGGAAUUCCAGGUGUAGCGGUGAAAUGCGUAGAUAUCUGGAGGAACACCGGUGGCGAAGGCGGCAUCCUGGACCGGCAUUGACGCUGAGGCGCGAAAGCCAGGGGAGCAAACGGG